rnacentral:misc_RNA from 1 species
AGCUUGGUAACGGGUUGGCCGUGGGUGUCGAUGCAUCCCUGGCCGAGUGAAGUCUUUAGUGGUGCCCGCUGCAUGGUUGGCGGGUUAGAUUGCGAGCGUGUUGCCCGCGAUUUGCUCUUUAAAAAAUCGGAAGGUCGUCCAGCAGCAUUGAACGAGUCAGAAAUGACUCAUCGCAAGAAUAUAAAUCGAUUGCAUUCGCACAACUACC